rnacentral:rRNA from 1 species
AGGAUGAACGCUGGCGGCGUGCCUAACACAUGCAAGUCGAACGUCCUUGCGGUCUUCUUCUUCGGAGGAGGACCGCGAGGGAGUGGCGGACGGGUGAGUAACACAUGGGUACCUGCCUUUCGGUGAGGAAUACCGGCGAGAAAUCGCCGACAAUACCGCAUACGUUUCGCAAGAAACAAAGUCGCAAGACGCCGGAGGAGGAGCCUGCGCCCGAUUAGCUAGUUGGUGGAGUAAUGGUCUACCAAGGCGACGAUCGGUAGCUGGUCUGAGAGGAUGAUCAGCCACACUGGGAUUGAGAACGGCCCAGACUCCUACGGGGGGCAGCAGUGAGGAAUUUUCGUCAAUGGGGGAAACCCUGAACGAGCAACGCCGCGUGCAGGAAGACGCUUUCGGAGUGUAAACUGCUUUUCUCGGGGACGAGUAAGGACGGUACCGAGGAAUCAGCCCCGGCUACUACGCGCCAGCAGCCGC